GAUGGAAAAACUGAGACGGAGGAGCAGAGACUCACAUAAUCACACACCUCGAGAGAAGCAGAGUCAGCUCUGGAAUGCAGGUCUCAUGGCCGCCAGGCCCACCCUACACAGCGCCUGGGUUCAGACAGCCUGGAGGCAGAGGAAUGAAGAGUUUGACACAUGUAACCUCAGCAGCUCGAAGUGUACAGGUCACAUCUCCAGCGACGGAGCUCACUCUCUUUUGCCCCUGCCUUUGCUAGAUGCCUCUGAUGGGAGGGGAUUUGGACUGUGAGGCUGCUGUGUCCCCCGCCCUCCACCUGGUCACCACAGACCCUGGCAAAGAAGAAGAUGGGGCACUGGAGUUCCACUUUACUAGGAGCCCCAGAGCCUUCCCGGCUGAGUUUGGGAACUCCUCCUGGGCAGACGGAUUUCACUGAGAUUUUACUCUGAAAUGGCCCCAUUGUGCUCCGGGUGGCGCCACGGAGGUGGGAGCGGCGCGGUGAGGAGGCUGCGGUCUGAGUCCCAGAGUGAUGAAGCUGGACACUGCCUUCUCCACCCUGGCAGAGAAUGGGCUGGCUUACCAACAGAGAGGAUUACACAGCUGAGGCAGGGGAUUAAGUGCAAGUCUGAACACUGAACGUCACCAACAUCAGGUGUUCCAGGCAGCCUACGAGAGACUCAGCAAAGACAGGUAAUUUGAAUUGAAUGGAUCGUGAUGUCAACACCCCAGAUGGAGCAGCUCAGCUGGCCAGAGCUGCAGGUGAAGGAAUCUAAGAACGAGGAGGAAGUUAACAUAAUUGCAAGACAGCCAGACACACCCCAGCCAGGUGGGAUGAGGAAGCUAAGACGAGCUCCUUGAAAUAUGUCACAGAAAAACAGAAGGCCAGUCCUUCCCAGCCCACUGCCGGACCAGCGGACCUCUGGGUCACAGGAUGAGCAGAGGUAUGGAUACCCGCGCCCAUUGCCAUCUUCACUGCUGGGGGUGAGUGGGGUUCUGGCCUUCUUGGGCCCCACAGUACUGAGGAGGGGGCUGACAGGCAGAGAGGUGUUUGGGUCGAGGUAAUCGCUCACCUGCCCAGCAUCCAGUAGCCUGCAACGGAGGCCCCUCCUGGACUGUGCUCGCCUGCUGAUCCGCGCCCCCUGCCCCUCUCUGACACCGUGACCUUGGCCAAGGUCACCGAGAAAGGCCCAGUUGGGCUGUGGGGGCGGGUAGGAGAGUGAACACGAGACAUCCCGAUCCUUGGGACGCUGCUCUUUCACCUGUCCUCCCCUGCAGAUCUGAAGCUAAUAACAGAAGCCAGGUCUAUUAAAAACAGCA